UACGUAGGGGGCUAGCGUUGUCCGGAUUUAUUGGGCGUAAAGAGCGCGCAGGCGGCUUGGUAAGUCGGAUGUGAAAUCCCGAGGCUCAACCUCGGGUCUGCAUCCGAUACUGCCCGGCUAGAGGUAGGUAGGGGAGAUCGGAAUUCCUGGUGUAGCGGUGAAAUGCGCAGAUAUCAGGAGGAACACCGGUGGCGAAGGCGGAUCUCUGGGCCUUACCUGACGCUCAGGCGCGAAAGCUAGGGGAGCGAACUGG
rnacentral:rRNA from 1 species